CGUCCCGAGUCUGUGGAGGAACCUCGUACCGGGAUGCUGCGGGAGCGAUCGGCGCGUCGGAAGACCGAGGGUGGCGAUGGAGCUCGGCAGGAGGACCGGGACAAGGAUCGGGGCCAGGACCGGGACCGCGACCGGAGGAGCGAGGCGGCCCCAGGAGCUGGCACUGACCGUGCCGCGGGUCGGGCACAGGCUGCUCCCAGCUCUGCCUGCGGAACUUCGGCAAUUACCGACAGCAGUUCUUUGCCCUGCCAUCCAGAAGGUGCGGCUCAUCUGACACCAGCCAGACGGGGAAGGCCCUGCCUGGGAGGGAAACGGCUACAGGGGAGGAAACCAAGAAAUGCUCCAACCGGAUGGUGCUGCGCGAGUCAAAAGAGGGGCAAGACCGCGGGCAAAUACAGUCAGGAAAUGAGCUUUUAUUCAAUCUCUGCAGGAGCCCUUCGCAGCCACGGGCCGGAGGGAGCGCGGCCGGCUGGGCUGUGCCCGGCUGGGGACGGGCACCAAUUCAUCGCUGCCCUGCUCAGGGAGGUUUUCCGGCCCCGUCCGGGCUUCACCCAACGGCUGCAAAGGUGCUCGUGCGGCAUCCGAGCUCAUUUCCAGGGAUAAAGGAGCCAAACGAGUCCGGAGGGAUCCCUCGCUCCGAGGCAAAGGCGUUUGGUCGAGUGUCGCCGCCUGGUCCCGCCUGCGGGGGAGCGUCUCCUCCAGUUUCCCAGGGAGAAGAACAGGAACUCACAGCCACCAAGGCCUGACAGUUCCCUGCAGCCAGAGCUCAGCACACAGCCAGAGAGGCAAUUCCAGCAUCUAAAAGAAAAAAAAGAAGAAAAAAGUGAUUUAUUUUGUUUUCAAGUUCCUUUAAGUUGUUCCAAGCAAAGCAAGCCUUGCUCUGGUUUCAGUUGGGUGAACAGGGAGCGCUGGGCACAGGGCACGUCAUUAAUGCCCAGGG